AGUGAUGAUUAUUGGAGGUAGAGCACUGUUUGGACGAGGGGCCCCUCUCGGGUUACCGAAUUCAGACAAACUCCGAAUGCCAAUUAAUUUAACUUGGGAGUCAGAACAUGGGUGAUAAGGUCCGUGUUCGAAAGGGAAACAGCCCAGACCACCAGCUAAGGUCCCAAAAUAUAUGUUAAGUGGAAAAGGAUGUGGCGUUGCCCAGACAACUAGGAUGUUGGCUUAGAAGCAGCCAUCAUUUAAAGAGUGCGUAAUAGCUCACUAGUCGAGUGACACUGCGCCGAAAAUGUACCGGGGCUAAACAUAUUACCGAAGCUGUGGAUUGUCCUUUGGACAAUGGUAGGAGAGCGUUCUAAGGGCGUUGAAGCAUGAUCGUAAGGACAUGUGGAGCGCUUAGAAGUGAGAAUGCCGGUGUGAGUAGCGAAAGACGGGUGAGAAUCCCGUCCACCGAUUGACUAAGGUUUCCAGAGGAAGGCUCGUCCGCUCUGGGUUAGUCGGGUCCUAAGCUGAGGCCGACAGGCGUAGGCGAUGGAUAACAGGUUGAUAUUCCUGUACCACCUAUAAUCGUUUUAAUCGAUGGGGGGACGCAGUAGGAUAGGCGAAGCGUGCGAUUGGAUUGCACGUCUAAGCAGUAAGGCUGAGUAUUAGGCAAAUCCGGUACUCAUUAAGGCUGAGCUGUGAUGGGGAGAAGACAUUGUGUCUUCGAGUCGUUGAUUUCACACUGCCGAGAAAAGCCUCUAGAUAGAAAAUAGGUGCCCGUACCGCAAACCGACACAGGUAGUCAAGAUGAGAAUUCUAAGGUGAGCGAGCGAACUCUCGUUAAGGAACUCGGCAAAAUGACCCCGUAACUUCGGGAGAAGGGGUGCUCUUUAGGGUUAACGCCCAGAAGAGCCGCAGUGAAUAGGCCCAAGCGACUGUUUAUCAAAAACACAGGUCUCUGCUAAACCGUAAGGUGAUGUAUAGGGGCUGACGCCUGCCCGGUGCUGGAAGGUUAAGAGGAGUGGUUAGCUUCUGCGAAGCUACGAAUCGAAGCCCCAGUAAACGGCGGCCGUAACUAUAACGGUCCUAAGGUAGCGAAAUUCCUUGUCGGGUAAGUUCCGACCCGCACGAAAGGCGUAACGAUUUGGGCACUGUCUCAACGAGAGACUCGGUGAAAUCAUAGUACCUGUGAAGAUGCAGGUUACCCGCGACAGGACGGAAAGACCCCGUGGAGCUUUACUGUAGCCUGAUAUUGAAAUUCGGCACAGCUUGUACAGGAUAGGUAGGAGCCUUUGAAACGUGAGCGCUAGCUUACGUGGAGGCGCUGGUGGGAUACUACCCUAGCUGUGUUGGCUUUCUAACCCGCACCACUUAUCGUGGUGGGAGACAGUGUCAGGCGGGCAGUUUGACUGGGGCGGUCGCCUCCUAAAAGGUAACGGAGGCGCUCAAAGGUUCCCUCAGAAUGGUUGGAAAUCAUUCAUAGAGUGUAAAGGCAUAAGGGAGCUUGACUGCGAGACCUACAAGUCGAGCAGGGUCGAAAGACGGACUUAGUGAUCCGGUGGUUCCGCAUGGAAGGGCCAUCGCUCAACGGAUAAAAGCUACCCCGGGGAUAACAGGCUUAUCUCCCCCAAGAGUUCACAUCGACGGGGAGGUUUGGCACCUCGAUGUCGGCUCAUCGCAUCCUGGGGCUGUAGUCGGUCCCAAGGGUUGGGCUGUUCGCCCAUUAAAGCGGUACGCGAGCUGGGUUCAGAACGUCGUGAGACAGUUCGGUCCCUAUCCGUCGUGGGCGUAGGAAAUUUGAGAGGAGCUGUCCUUAGUACGAGAGGACCGGGAUGGACAUACCUCUGGUGUACCAGUUGUCGUGCCAACGGCAUAGCUGGGUAGCUAUGUGUGGACGGGAUAAGUGCUGAAAGCAUCUAAGCAUGAAGCCCCCCUCAAGAUGAGAUUUCCCAACUUCGGUUAUAAGAUCCCUCAAAGAUGAUGAGGUUAAUAGGUUCGAGGUGGAAGCAUGGUGACAUGUGGAGCUGACGAAUACUAAUCGAUCGAAGACUUAAUCAA
rnacentral:rRNA from 1 species